UUAGGGACAUUUUUUUAGAGGCAAUAAAUAUAUUGCCGCUAAAUGCUCCCUACAUUCGUGUAUUACCGUCAUUUCGGCAUUUUCCAUGGGGGAAAAAUAUUAUUACUAGCGAUUAAAAGUUAAUUCUGCUAUAGUUUUUACUUAAUAUAAAUUCUUCCUAAAGUUUAUUUCCCGGUACAAUCCCUCUACCAACAAAUUCACCGGCACAGAUUAGGGAAAACCUCUCUUUUUCAUUCUCCAAAUUCACCCAUACGAAUUAGGGAAAACUACUCUUCCUCACCGGCCGUAGCGCGAUCUCGUCUCUCUCGUCCUUACCAGGGUGGAUCGUCUUCUGAACAAUUUUCAAACCAAAAAGGUGAAUUCAUCAUGACUGAAAGCACUGGAAGUAUAGAAAUCAACAAAGAUGAAAUUUUGCCACUUUCGGAUAAACCAUAUGUUGGUAUGGUUCUUACUAAGAGCAAUGUCAAGCCCAUCUACAGAUUGAUUUUAAGAGAAGAUUUCCAGCUGAAUUGGUUCUUGAAGAUGUGGAGGGUAUCAACACUGACAACCCAAGUAGAAAUUUCAAUUUCAUGGAAAAAAAUUUAUCAAUUCCAUUUGUUUCAAUUUAAAAAAAAUA